rnacentral:piRNA from 1 species
UGCCAUUCAGCAAGUUUUUGU